AGGUAGCGCCUCGUGAAUUCAUCUCCGGGGGUAGAGCACUGUUUCGGCUAGGGGGUCAUCCCGACUUACCAACCCGAUGCAAACUACGAAUACCGGAGAAUGUUAUCACGGGAGACACACGGCGGGUGCUAACGUCCGUCGUGAAGAGGGAAACAACCCAGACCGCCAGCUAAGGUCCCAAAGUCAUGGUUAAGUGGGAAACGAUGUGGGAAGGCUCAGACAGCCAGGAUGUUGGCUUAGAAGCAGCCAUCAUUUAAAGAAAGCGUAAUAGCUCACUGGUCGAGUCGGCCUGCGCGGAAGAUGUAACGGGGCUAAACCAUGCACCGAAGCUGCGGCAGCGACACUAUGUGUUGUUGGGUAGGGGAGCGUUCUGUAAGCCUGUGAAGGUGUGCUGUGAGGCAUGCUGGAGGUAUCAGAAGUGCGAAUGCUGACAUAAGUAACGAUAAAGCGGGUGAAAAGCCCGCUCG
rnacentral:rRNA from 1 species